rnacentral:lncRNA from 1 species
UACGGGCUCGGUUUUGGACGUUCUAUAUAUGCACGGAUAGCUGAGAAGAUAACCUAUCCAAUGGCGCUGGUCCCAUGGUCAAAUUCCUCCUGAAUCAACGGAAAUCAUCGAAACAAAAGACGCCCAGAAUCUGUCUCGGUGCUGCGCCACCGUUUUUGGCCUUUGGGCCAUGUAUCUUUUUGAGCCCAAUUAGGGGCGUGACCAGAGGGUCCUUGCUUAACCCUAGACCAUAUUUACAGCCGCCGGUGCUUAGGUUAGGGUCGGGUUUUGCUUAGAUUAUCCUGUCAAGAACAGUUUUGCCGUUCAUCGGUUUGUGAGACCCCAACUUCAUGAGAUUAAUCAUACAUCUGCAAUUUGGUUGCAUUCUUUCUUGUUCUUGCUUGUGUUCUUCGAUUCGCGGGCAAGGAUUAGCCUUCUUGGCGAGGUCGACCGUGCAUCGCCGGUCGAUAACCAGAGGAGACGUGGUGCUGCGAUGGCGGGGUUCAGAAUGUGUUGUUCGGAAGCCGGAUCGAGUUGUGUCAAGUUUCCACCAAAUCGAGAGUUAUCAGAACCUUUUGGAAGAUCAGGACACCCUUGUUCAUAUUAAGUGGUAAUCAGAGACUCAGGUGUUACCGUCAGGUUCGCCCUUACCCUGAUUUGUUUGAUUUCGCCUUUAUCCUAUCGUCCACAAAAAAAGCCAAAAACAAAUUAGCUAUAUUUCUUCCCCGUCCCAGAACCACGUUCAGCCUUUUGCAUAAUUCCUUUUCAGAGUUCGUAGUGUUGAGUUUGUGUCCUAGUAUUGUUUUUGUUGCUGGUUUAGUUCGUGUUCUAGUCUAAGUAGUGUUUUCCAUCAUGUUCCUUCAUCUUGUGCGACAGAUCGCCUUUCACCCUGUUGUACUUCCAUCACAUACACGUCCUUGAUCACCACACACCAACAUAAGUUCAGUCCACAAUCCGCUGCCACCAUACUCCCCGUUUUUCCAACCAUCGAUUUUAAUUCGGACGCCACCAAAACAUACCUCGGAGCGCUCCCCUUGAAACAGCCAUACCUUUUGCCUACAGACUCAGAGCAAAGAGUGAAUUGCGAAAAAGAAGAAAAAAAGUUGAGAGAAAAAAAAGCAAAAAAAAAGGAGAGAAAAGGUCACAUCUGUUGGUGUUCCGAUUCGCCGGGUUGGUGAAUUUUGAUUGGCAAAAUUCUGCUAAGAAAACCAAUUGUUCGCGCGAUAUAGUUUCAGCACGAAUUGUAUAACACGGUUCUGAUUUUCUGCAGGCCGCAUUGUCUAUCAUAUUGAGCUGGACCUUCACCUGCUGCUUGUGCAAAAAAAAUCAAAAAAAGUGCAGGAGCAAGAAUUAUUACGCAUUGAGGGUUGUGUUGAGCUACUGUCCUUACCUUUGUUCAUGUCCGUUGUUGUCUUUGUCUCAUACUUGUUGUCUACCUUGUCAUCCAUAUCACACUUGGUUUAGAACACGAGUAGACCAGCAACUAGGACAAGCUUUUUGGACAUUUAUUCAGCAUUACUAUCUGUUUUUGAAUUGUGUUCCACUCACAUAUAGUGCCUUCCAAGCUCCACAUACAACCUUCUGAACAGGCACAGGUUUUUGACCCUCGCAAUCGCCAGAUUACGCCUUCCAGGAAUCCUUUGCUUUGCUAGUAAGAACCUUGUAAGAGCUUGUUAAGACGCUUCCAUUUGCUGUGUUGAGAGGCACCACUGCAACUGCAUAGUAGUUGAUGGGGAUAACCUUCACUGUGUGUUCCUGUUUUUUUUGUGUGUUUACAAUGGCAGGUACCGGCGAAAACGGCGAUAGCACUCCCAAGGAUUUCAAGGAAUGUGUCAGCCAAGAGCAACUACAAGCUACCAUAGAGAAGGUUCAAGACGGGAUGAACGAGGCAAUCAAGAAGGCUGUUACUGAUGCGCUCAUUGAACUCAACCUCCGCAACAGCAUCGAGCGGUUGGACAAACGGAUAUCCACGUUAACUCACAGGGUUACCGAGUUGGAAACCCGUUUAACAACCAACAACGACGACGUGUCCGGCAGCAACACCAGUGGAGAAAUGCCAGAAGACAUGGUGUAUGAUGCUAAUGGGAACAUAGAUCAAGCAGCUACACGACAAGCAAGAUUGCACCAACGUCUUCGCCGUAACACUCAAGGUAUGGGUAGUACAGUUAAUCAACAUCGCCAUCAAGGUAAUAAUAAUCAUGCUCCUGAUGAUCCUUAUGCUAAGAUUAAGUUAAUAGUACCAAAUAUUUCGGGUCGUUAUGAUGCCGAGGGUUACCUUGAUUGGGAGAUGACGUUAGAACAGAAGUUUAAUUCCCACCUUGUUCCUGAGCAACAUAGAGUUCGACUAGCUACUAGUGAGGACUUUGCUAUUAUUUGGUGGAAUGGGCUAGCUGGACAGGGUGCUUUACCCGAUACAUGGGAACGACUUAAGGUAGCUAUGCGUGAUCGUUUUGUUCCUCCUUCGUAUCAUAGAGAUUUGCGUAACAAACUGCAGCGUUUAGAACAAGGAGAAAAAUCUGUACAAGAUUACUCUGCUGAGCUUCAAAAGGGUUUGAUGCGUUGUGGUAUAGUGGAGGGGCUUGAGGAUUCUAUUUGUCGUUUUUAUUCGGGUUUGAGGCAUGAUGUUCAGGACAUUGUUGAUUAUAAAGAAUUUCAUACUGUCAACCAGUUGUUCCAGUUUGCUAUGCUUGCAGAGAAGGAAUUGCAGGGACGUGAGCAGCGGAACAAGAGCAACGUCCACGCUUCCUACACGCCACGCACGACGGCUCCUUCGAGGCUGCCUAAGCCAUCCUCUUUUCGGGUGCCCCUAACAGCGGACCAGCAAGCUUCUACCUCAGCCAGUCGUGUUACAACAACACCUACACCACCUUCUACACGUCCUACAUAUUCAGGUAAAAAUUCUUUGCAGGUUCCCGCCAAUAGUUCUUCGUCCGUCGCCUCGACGGGAUGCACUUCCAGCAUUCAGUGCCACCGCUGCCAAGGACAUGGCCAUAUGCAGAAGGAUUUCCCAAGUCAACGGGCAUAUGUGGCAACCGAAGAUGGAGGUUAUAUCAGCAACUCCGAUGUGGAGGAUGAUGCUAAUGAUGAUGAUGCCGCCACCGACGACGAUGAUGAGGGUCAUGUCCUUGGGGGCGCCGAUACUUCAGGCUACAUGAACAUUAUUGUUCAGCGUGUGCUCAACACACAAAUUCAGCAACCCGAGAAGCUACAACGCCACAAUUUGUUUCAGAUUUUCUUCAUUAUCAAGAACCGACGAGCACAUGUUAUCAUUGAUGGAGGAAGCUGCAACAAUUUGGUGAGUUCUGAUCUGGUCAAGAAGCUUUGUUUGACCACACCCACAUCCAUACCAUAUUCAGUGGUUAAAUGAUUCUGGAAAAGCUAAGGUAACACAAACAUGUAGAGUUCCUUUUUUCAUUGGUGCCUAUGCUGAUUCUGUUGAUUGUGAUGUCGUACCUAUGCAAGCUUGUUCACUUUUGUUGGGUCGGCCUUGGGAACAUGAUAAUGAUGCUACACACCAUGGAAGAAGUAAUAAAUACACUUUUGUGCAUAAAGGGCAGAAAAUUACUUUGGUACCUUUGACCCCUGCUGAAAUUGUACAAGCUGAUAGAGAGAGAGCUGCUAGUUCAAGUGAUGCUAAAUCUGAAAAUCAGCAAGUUGUUAAUUCUGUUUUUCCACCUAAAAAAGAUAAGCCUGCACCUAUUUCUAAGGCCGAGGGAAUUAAAUUGAAGGGUGGUGUUAUGCUUGCUACAAAAUGUGACCUUGCUGAAAUUUCUGAUGAUGAUAUUUGCUAUGCUUUGAUAUGCAAACGAGCUUUGUUUUCUCUUGAUGAUAUUGUCAGUUCGUUGUCUCCUGCUGUCACUAACCUUUUGCAAGAGUUUGAGGACAUUUUCCCAGCUGAGAUACCCCCGGGGAUGCCACCUAUAAGAGGGAUAGAGCAUCAAAUUGAUUUGAUUUCGGGUGCAACUUUGCCAAAUCGUGCUGCCUAUCGAACCAACCCCGAGGAGACCAAGGAAAUUCAGCGACAAGUCCAAGACCUUUUGGACCGCGGGUAUGUACGUGAAAGCCUUAGUCCUUGUGCUGUUCCUAUACUUUUGGUUCCUAAGAAAGAUGGUACUUGGCGUCUAUGUGCUGAUUGUAGAGCCAUCAAUAAUAUUACUAUUCGGUAUCGUCAUCCUAUUCCUAGGUUAGACGACAUGCUUGAUGAGCUGUGUGGUUCUAUAAUUUUCACAAAGAUUGACUUGCGUAGUGGCUACCACCAAAUUAGAAUGAAACUUGGAGAUGAAUGGAAAACAGCUUUCAAAACUAAAUUUGGGUUGUAUGAGUGGAUGGUAAUGCCUUUUGGCUUGAUAAAUGCACCUAGCACUUUCAUGCGCUUAAUGAAUGAGGUUUUAAGAGCUUUUAUUGGUAUAUUUGUGGUGGUUUAUUUUGAUGAUAUCUUGAUUUACAACAAGUCUUUGGAUGAACAUAUGGACCAUUUACGUGUUGUUUUUAAUGCUUUAAGGGAUGCACGUUUGUUUGGUAACCUUGAGAAGUGCAUUUUUUGCACAGACCGAGUCUCUUUUCUUGGUUACGUUGUUACUCCACAGGGAAUCGAGGUGGAUGAAACGAAGAUUGACGCCAUCCAAAGCUGGCCGCUACCCCAAGCUAUCACACAGGUGAGGAUUUUUCUUGGUCUUGCAGGUUUCUACCGCCGCUUCGUCAAGGAUUUUAGCACCAUUGCUGCACCACUGCAUGAGUUGACGAAGAAGGGUGUGGCGUUCCAUUGGGGGAAGGCACAAGAGGAGUCCUUUGGCACCUUGAAGGACAAGCUUACGCACGCACCAUUGCUGCAACUUCCUAACUUUGGUAAGACUUUUGAGCUAGAAUGUGAUGCUAGUGGAGUCGGCAUUGGUGGUGUUUUGAUGCAAGAUGGUAAAACCGUUGCAUACUUUAGCGAAAAAUUGCAUGGUCCCAUUCUGAAUUAUUCCAUGUAUGACAAGGAAUCGUAUGCACUUGUGCGUUCUUUAGAAACGUGGAGUCAUUAUUUGUGGCCUAAAGAAUUUGUUAUUCUCUGAUCAUGAAUCGCUUAAGUAUCUUCGCUCUCAAAAUAAUUUGAAUCGUAGGCAUGCUAAGUGGGUUGAAUUUAUUGAAUCUUUCCCUUAUAUCAUCAAACACAAGAAAGGGAAGGAUAAUGUGAUUGCUGAUGCUUUGUCUAGACGAUAUACUUUGUUGUCUCAACUUGAUUGUCGGAUUUUUGGACUUGAGUCAAUAAAAGAACAAUAUGCACUUGAUUUUGACUUUAAAGAUGUUUUGCUGCAAUGUCGAGAGGGGCGUACAUGGAAUAAAUUUGUCCUUAACGAUGGGUUUUUGUUUAGAGCUAACCGUCUAUGCAUCCCAGUUGGUUCCGUUCGUCUUUUGUUGUUACAGGAGGCGCAUGGAGGAGGAUUGAUGGGUCAUUUCGGUGCGAAGAAGACGGAGGACGUUCUGGCCACACAUUUUUUUGGCCAAAGAUGAGGAGAGAUGUUGAGAGGUUCGUGGCUCGCUGCACCACAUGUCAAAAAGCUAAAUCUCGCUUGAAUCCACAUGGUUUAUACAUGCCUCUUCCUGUUCCUUCUAUUCCUUGGGCAGAUAUUUCUAUGGAUUUUGUGUUAGGAUUGCCUAGGACUAAGAGGGGAAGGGAUAGUAUUUUUGUUGUGGUGGAUCAUUUUUCUAAGAGGGCACACUUUAUACCAUGUCAUAAAAGUGAUGAUGUUGUUUAUAUUGCUGAACUCUUUUUCAAAGAGAUUGUUCGUUUGCAUGGUAUGCCUUCUACUAUUGUUUCAGAUCGUGAUGCAAAAUUAUUGAGUCAUUUUUGGCGCACCCUAUGGAACAAGUUGGGUACAAAAUUGUUGUUUUCUACAACUUGUCACGCACAAACUGAUGGGCAAACUGAGGUGGUGAAUCGCACUUUGGGCACCAUGUUGAGGGUUGUUUUGAAGAAAAAUUUGAAGAUGUGGGAAGAAUGUUUGCCUCAUGUGGAGUUUGCUUACAACCGGGCAACACAUUCUACCACCAAGGUAAGUCCUUUUAAGGUAGUGUAUGGUUUCAAUCCCCGUGCUCCUAUUGAAUCUUGCCUUUACCUACAAGUGAGAGGAUUCACAAUGAUGCCAAAGAACGUGCUGAUUUUAUCUUGAAAAUACAUGAGACAACAAAGGGCAAUAUUGAAAAAAUGAAUGAAAAGUAUAGAAUUGCUGGUAGUAAAGGUAGACAAGGAGUUAAACUAGAACCGGGUGAUUUGGUUUGGUUACACUUGAGAAAGGAUAGGUUUCCAGAUUUAAGAAAGUCUAAGUUGAUGCCUAGAGCUGAUGGUCCUUUCAAAAUACUUGCCAAGAUAAAUGAUAAUGCAUAUAAACUUGAGUUGCCUCCCGAGUUUGGGGUUAGUUCCACCUUUAACAUUUCAGAUUUGAGGCCAUAUUUGGGAGAAGAGGAUGAGUCUGAGUCGAGGAUGACUCCAAUUCAAGAGGGGGAGGAUGAUGAGGACAUCACUCCUUCGGAUACAUACAAAACUCCACUGGAAAUACAAGGACCGAUCACUAGAGCUCGAGCGCGACAAUUGAAUUUAGAGGUGAGCUCGUUCCUAAGCACUUCUUUAUAUGUUCCUGAGAAUAGAUUGCUACCUAAUGAUUAUAUUAUGAUUAGGAACCAUGGAGAGCACCAGGAGAUACUAGGAGAGGGGCUCGGAGGUGGAGAGGACCAGCAAGGGCGUCCAAGUCAAGGUGGAGGCCCAAACAAAGUUGACUUCGAGUCUGUUUCGGAGUCCAGGAGCAGUCUGCACUAAAACGGUUGUCCAGGUCGCAUACGGGCUCGGUUUUGGACGUUCUAUAUAUGCACGGAUAGCUGAGAAGAUAACCUAUCCAAUGGCGCUGGUCCCAUGGUCAAAUUCCUCCUGAAUCAACGGGACUCAUCGAAACAAAAGACGCCCAGAAUCUGUCUCGGUGCUGCGCCACCGUUUUUGGCCUUUGGGCCAUGUAUCUUUUUGAGCCCAAUUAGGGGCGUGACCAGAGGGUCCUUGCUUAACCCUAGACCAUAUUUACAGCCGCCGGUGCUUAGGUUAGGGUCGGGUUUUGCUUAGAUUAUCCUGUCAAGAACAGUUUUGCCGUUCAUCGGUUUGUGAGACCCCAACUUCGUGAGAUUAAUC